UGAUGGGGGGGCUUGGCGGAUUCUUCCCACCGCUUGUCAUUUCAGCUGUGACAUCUAUCACAGGUACGAGUCAUUUCGCAUUCAUCUUGUUAUGUGUAUUCGGAUUAAUUGCACUUGUAACGAUGUUUAACUUAUCUAAACGUGAAAAAGCAGCCGCAAAUAAAGCGACUGUGUCAUAAUACUGACAAGUGAUUCAAAGUAGAACAUUGUUAUGAAUAAAAAGAGGACCGAGAGACGUCAUGUUUCUCAGUCCUCUUUUCGAUAAGGUCCAUAUUCGAAAGGGAAACAGCCCAGACCACCAGCUAAGGUCCCAAAAUAUAUGUUAAGUGGAAAAGGAUGUGGCGUUGCCCAGACAACUAGGAUGUUGGCUUAGAAGCAGCCAUCAUUUAAAGAGUGCGUAAUAGCUCACUAGUCGAGUGACACUGCGCCGAAAAUGUACCGGGGCUAAACAUAUUACCGAAGCUGUGGAUUGUCCUUUGGACAAUGGUAGGAGAGCGUUCUAAGGGCGUUGAAGCAUGAUCGCAAGGACAUGUGGAGCGCUUAGAAGUGAGAAUGCCGGUGUGAGUAGCGAAAGACGGGUGAGAAUCCCGUCCACCGAUUGACUAAGGUUUCCAGAGGAAGGCUCGUCCGCUCUGGGUUAGUCGGGUCCUAAGCUGAGGCCGACAGGCGUAGGCGAUGGAUAACAGGUUGAUAUUCCUGUACCACCAUUAUUCGUUUUAAGCGAUGGGGGGACGCAGUAGGAUAGGCGAAGCGUGCUGUUGGAGUGCACGUCCAAGCAGUGAGAUUGAGUGUUAGGCAAAUCCGGCACUCUUAAGAUUGAGCUGUGAUGGGGAGAGGAACUUGUUCCUCGAGUCGUUGAUUUCACACUGCCGAGAAAAGCCUCUAGCUAGAAUAACGGUGCCCGUACCGCAAACCGACACAGGUAGUCAAGAUGAGAAUUCUAAGGUGAGCGAGCGAACUCUCGUUAAGGAACUCGGCAAAAUGACCCCGUAACUUCGGGAGAAGGGGUGCUCUUUGAGGUUCACGCUUCGAAGAGCCGCAGUGAAUAGGCCCAAGCGACUGUUUAUCAAAAACACAGGUCUCUGCUAAACCGUAAGGUGACGUAUAGGGGCUGACGCCUGCCCGGUGCUGGAAGGUUAAGAGGAGUGGUUAGCGCAAGCGAAGCUACGAAUCGAAGCCCCAGUAAACGGCGGCCGUAACUAUAACGGUCCUAAGGUAGCGAAAUUCCUUGUCGGGUAAGUUCCGACCCGCACGAAAGGCGUAACGAUUUGGGCACUGUCUCAACGAGAGACUCGGUGAAAUCAUAGUACCGGUGAAGAUGCCGGUUACCCGCGACAGGACGGAAAGACCCCGUGGAGCUUUACUGUAGCCUGAUAUUGAAAUUCGGUACAGUUUGUACAGGAUAGGUAGGAGCCUUAGAAGCGUGAGCGCUAGCUUACGUGGAGGCAUUGGUGGGAUACUACCCUAAUUGUAUUGGAUUUCUAACCCGCAGCACUUAUCGUGCUGGGAGACAGUGUCAGGCGGGCAGUUUGACUGGGGCGGUCGCCUCCUAAAGAGUAACGGAGGCGCUCAAAGGUUCCCUCAGAAUGGUUGGAAAUCAUUCAUAGAGUGUAAAGGCAUAAGGGAGCUUGACUGCGAGACCUACAAGUCGAGCAGGGUCGAAAGACGGACUUAGUGAUCCGGUGGUUCCGCAUGGAAGGGCCAUCGCUCAACGGAUAAAAGCUACCCCGGGGAUAACAGGCUUAUCUCCCCCAAGAGUUCACAUCGACGGGGAGGUUUGGCACCUCGAUGUCGGCUCAUCGCAUCCUGGGGCUGUAGUCGGUCCCAAGGGUUGGGCUGUUCGCCCAUUAAAGCGGUACGCGAGCUGGGUUCAGAACGUCGUGAGACAGUUCGGUCCCUAUCCGUCGUGGGCGUAGGAAAUUUGAGAGGAGCUGUCCUUAGUACGAGAGGACCGGGAUGGACAUACCUCUGGUGUACCAGUUGUCGUGCCAACGGCAUAGCUGGGUAGCUAUGUAUGGACGGGAUAAGUGCUGAAAGCAUCUAAGCAUGAAGCCCCCCUCGAGAUGAGAUUUCCCAACUUCGGUUAUAAGAUCCCUCAAAGAUGAUGAGGUGAAUAGGUUCGAGGUGGAAGCGUAGCGAUACGUGGAGCUGACGAAUACUAAUCGAUCGAAGACUUAAUCAAC
rnacentral:rRNA from 1 species